rnacentral:tRNA from 1 species
GCAAUAGCUCAGUGUCAAAGCAUUUGCUUUCCACACAAAAGGUGCCAGAUCCAAUCCCUGGCAGCUCCA